GUACGGCCCUCUCGAAGCCGCAUUUGGCUGCUUCUGUGCCAAAUAGUGGUCAAUAAGGUGCCAACAGCAACGUGUUGACACGACGGUCGCCGCCUGCCUGCAGUCCGUGGCUUUGGUGGCAACUUUACGGUGAACUACAUUC